GCCGGACGCGGUGGCGCGCGCCUGUAGUCCCAGCUACUCGGGAGGCUGAGGCAGGAGGAUCGCUUGAGCCCAGGAGUUCUGGGCUGCAGUGCGCUAUGCCGAUCGGGUGUCCGCACUAAGUUCGGCAUCAAUAUGGUGACCUCCCGGGAGCGGGGGACCACCAGGUUGCCUAAGGAGGGGUGAACCGGCCCAGGUCGGAAACGGAGCAGGUCAAAACUCCCGUGCUGAUCAGUAGUGGGAUCGCGCCUGUGAAUAGCCACUGCACUCCAGCCUGGGCAACAUAGCGAGACCCCGUCUCUU
rnacentral:SRP_RNA from 3 species